AGGAGCGGCGGCGGCCGCAGCGCGGGGCCGGGGGUCUGUGCCCGCAGCCCCGCGGCAUCACCCCCGCCGAGCCCCCGGGGCUGCCGGAGGCACCGAGCCCCGCCGGCGGCAGCCGGCCCCGGCGCACCGAGCCCCCGCUCCACCGGCGCUGCUCCGGCGGGGAUGGAUCGCUGGUUUUCGUUUUCUGGCUUUUUUUUUUUUUUUUUUUUUUCCCGAUUGAUGUUGGUUUAUUUUUUUCUUUUUCUCUUUUUUUUUUUUUUUUUUUUUAAUAAGGGCUGAUUUAUUUUUUUUUUCCGGAGGGGUAAGCAACGAGUUGAUAAAAUUAAACCCCUCGCGGUGCCAUUAAAUCGAAACCGGGAUGCGAAGCGCCGCGGCUGCGCUAGAAACUUGUUGGGGCCGGAGAAGCGGCUCCGCAGGGCCGGGGAGCGGGGAGCGGGGAGCGGGCGGCGGCGGGCAACCGGCUCGGUGCCCGUGUGUCCUUGUUUUCCAGGCUCCAGCCGGAUUCCUCCUGGAAGAUCCCGCGAGCCCGGGAAGGGAAUCUCCGCUCCUGAUUGUCCAAACGCAAUUCUUGUGCGAUGGAGCCGUACGAACCAAGAAUUGUGUCUGGACAUCUGUAGCAGAGAUUUCAACUCCACCGGCGGGGCUCCAGGAAGGUGCUUUGGGGCGGAGGAAGAAGGACGGACCUUCCCCGGGCUCGGGGCACCGCAAGCCAGCUCCAUCACCUGGAAUUCCCUCUCUGCUACCCCGGCCCAGCAAAGCUUAUGGCUGCAGACUCAGGACAGAGAAGAGCCUUUGGCCCGUCCAUGUCAUUUACAAACGGCGCAAGCUGGACUCGAGUUGCUGCGGCUGGAUUUGGAAAAGGCUGAAUAUUGGUUCGUUACCAGCAGCGGGCUUGAAGUUAGGGUUUCUCAGAUGCAGCAGCGUCGGAGUCCGUGGGUGCUUUUAG
ensembl:lncRNA